AUGCUGGCGCACAAAGGAAGGAGCACAUGCACAGCACACCACCUACUGAAAGGCAAAGGCUCAGUAAAUCUUCACCCUCAGCUCCUCGUGCAAAAAAAAUCCCCAGCAGAAGAGCUUCGCGUGCCUCAACCUGUAUGUGACUGCGCCUCGACAAACUCCAGCACAUUACAAAUCUCAGCAUGCAGAGGAUGCUGGCUGCCACCAGCCACAAACUCAUGCACCUCACCGUCAAGCUCGACCGAGCUGCACCCUGGAGUCUUCUUCAUCUGCAGGUUGUUCAUUUCCCUCCUCUCUCUAGCGAGGCCGCUCCAGUUCUGGGCUUUUGCAUACAUGCUGGACAUCAUCACCCUUGCCCAAGGGUCAUCCGGAUCCAACCUGGUAACUUCCGCCGCCGCAAUCUCGCCAAGCUCCAAGCUGCCAUGGACUUUGCACGCGCUCAGGAAAGCUCCCCAUAUCACCAUGUUAGGUUUCAUUGGCAUUGUCUUUAUCAUCCUAUACGCCUCCGGCAAUCGCCCGACGCGGCCAAGAAGAUCGACCAUGCAACCAUAG
rnacentral:rRNA from 1 species